rnacentral:tRNA from 1 species
GGAGGAGUGACCGAGUGGCUAAAGGUAACAGACUGUAAAUCUGUCCGCAUGAUUGCGUACGUAGGUUCGAAUCCUACCUCCUCCA